GCAGCGCCUCCUUUGCCAUAAUGCUCUUCAAGAUAUGCAAACUGCUUCUUGAAUUUGUCAACGGCACUUGGGUACAUGAAACCUGUAGGUUCUUGCCCCUCUAAGAACUCCUUCAACAUUUUUGGGUGGUAUUCAAGAAUUUCUCUGUAUAUCAGCUCCCUCACAUCCUCCUUUGUUAUCCUUCGCCUUUCAAACUCAAAUUCCAUUUUUGUAACUGGUUGAGCAGAGGGUUCUCUUUCCACUUUGGCUAGAUUCCUGAAAUAUGGAUCUGCAAGAGCCUCUUCUGCAUUAGGACGAUCCUUGGGAUCAAAAGCAAGCAUCCUU
rnacentral:misc_RNA from 1 species